AUUGAUUGAAGUUUUAGUUUUCUGUAUUUAAAACUGUUUAUAGUAAUAGUUUUUAAAAUAAAAGAAGUACUAUUUUGAAUAUCAUGUUUUUCAAAAUGCUUUUCCAACAUUAUCCAAACAAUAAUUUGGAAACUAAAAUGAGGGAUCUAGAAUCUCGCUGUUCCCGUCUACAACCGCGGCAAGGUGCUCACCUGCGGCAUCCGCGCCGCCAAGCUAGGGUUUCCAGAUUCAGGGGAACAAUGCAACGGUCUCAAUUUUCACUCUCUCACUCCUUCAUUGUCUGAUUCCAAUGCACAAGCGUUCAAAGAGGUGGGAACUUGUAAGAGUGUAUUGGAUCUGCACUUGAAACCGACUUAAUGGGAUAGGGUGCCUGAGGAUUUUGUGGCAAAGCAGCUGAAGUCUGUGCUUACUGGUUGAUCCUGUCAUGAUACAGAUAAGGCUUCUAAAAAUACUUGUCUAUUCAGGGUGGAGUCGCUUCCCCUGGCCGACCAGCUAUUGAAAUCCGUUUCUGACAUGCGUGCUGCUGCAAAAUUGAUUCGUGAUUUGGGUCCUAGCUUGGUUUCCUUUUGAUAUAUUUGAAUUUUUUGUUCCCUACACACACACACACACACACAUAUAUAUAUAUAUAUAUAUAUUUUCCGAAAACAAAAUGUCUUAUGAAUAAGAGAUCUUGAAAGCAGCAGCCUCAAGAAAAGCAGUUACAAACAAGGAAGGCAUAUGACAAGCUGAAAACGAGUACUAGCCAACCUUGCAAAAACCCACCAGAAACAAAGCAAUAAAAAAACCCACACAAACGAAACCUCCUAGCUAAGUAUAGUUAUAGCUUAUUUCAUUCAUCUUUUCAAUUUGUAAUUGGCUUAGUGUAAAGAAUUAGAAUGUUGUGUACUUUCUAUAUUCAUCUUAUGGCAAAAAGUGAUUCAGAUUGGAGUGAAUCUUUCUAUAUUGAUUGGUUGAUAUAAAUUUCUUUGCUCUUGCCUAAAACUAGUUUACAUUUUUCUUUUGUUUGUAUGUGAUAGGAUUUGAUGAGGUUCAUAGUUCCUGUUGUUUUUGUAGCAAGAAAAAUAUGUUAUCUAGGCCUGAGUGUGUAACUCUUGUCAAGUCAGUUUUGAAAUCCUUACUAAUGGAUCCUAUGCAAAUUUAUUGGCUUCCACAAUCUGUUUGUAGUAGCCUGGAUUCUAUCUUUACGCAAUUUAUUUCGAGUAAAGGGGGUCCAAAGGGAAUGCGGAUCGUUGCUUGGGAUAAACUCUCACUAAGAAGGAGGGUGGUUUAGGCCUUCAAAAGGAUCGGUUAUUUAAUUCUGCUCUCUGAGGCAUGCAUGUUUGAAAUCUUAUUCAUGCUCAGGACAAGCUUUGGGUAAGAGUUUUUCAAGGAUAAGUAUGUUUGUGGUGAGGAUGUUUUGUCGGUCCAUUUCAAGUGGUUCCUUUGUUUGGCAUUCAAUUUGCACAAUUCAGGAUCAUAUGGGGGGAUCUAAUUUAAUUAUUAUCGCAACAAUGAUACUUCUUUAAUUUGAACUCUUCCCCACUUUGAUUGCUUUCAUUUAAUUUCUUGCAUGAUCACAACAAACCAAUCAACUAUCGGUUGCCUAAACAAUGAAUCUGUCCUUUGAAGUUAAACUUCAUGCCUUAGUCCCUUGUUUGAAGCACAAUACAAGCCUGCUUAAAUGCGGUUCCUAUAGCUUCCGUCCUGGUUAGCCGUGUUAUCGCGGUGAACAUCAUGUGUAAAUUGUGUGGUAGGCAGGAGGAAACCUUCAUGCAUUGCGUGAGAGAUUGUAAUAUCUCAUCUCAGAUCUAGCAUCGCUUCCAGCUCAGUUCUGCUGAUUUUUAUCGGCAUGCAUCUUCAAUGAUUGGAUUCUUGCUGUCCCUUGCUCUAGGGCGUUGUAUGUCUUGCUGGUCGCUUGGUUGAGUUGGAAGCAACACCAUGUUGCGUUUUAGAAAGCAAACUUUUCAUUGUGCUUGCUGUUUAGAGGUGUGUCCUCUGUGCUGGUUAUUCUGCUGCAUGCUUCUAUCGCUUCAGACAGUAGUGGAUUAGUGGGUGGCUUGGAGAGGCCUCUGGCUGGGUAGGUCGCUCUUAAGGUUGGCAUGAGCUUAUUUGGAAAUCCUGGUCUGAUGGUUAUGGUGCGAGAUGAUUGUGGAAGGUGGAUUUUUGGAUUUUCAACUUUCUUCGGCUUCUCUAUUGGGUUUUAGAUUGAGCUUCUUUCCAUUUUGCGUGGCCUACGUGUGUUGGAAUUUGGGUUAUGGUCGAAUCUUAUUAGUUUCAGACUCAAUGUUAGCUCUUAAUCUCAUUCAACACUAGCGUCAAACUUUUCAUGUUUAUGCAAUCAAAGCUUUCCAAGUGUUCGUGCAAAAAUAUCUUGGUCUGUUGUUCUUUAACAUAUUUUGUGAGAAGGAAAUGUUACUAGUGAGUUUUUAGCUACGCUUGGCUGCUCUUUUGAGAUGGGAUUCUACAUUUCACCUAUUUUAUUUGCCAAUUAUUUGGAUUUUUUAACUAGACUUAAAUGCACUUUUGGACCCUCAUGUUUUAACUUUUUGCGAUUGUCAACCCUUAUCUUUUUUUUUCUACGAAUGGGAACCCUAUUCUUUCAAAACGCUGCACCGUUUACCCUUCCGUCCAAAUCCGUCAAAAACUUGACGGAACACGCUGAUAUGGCCUUCCACGUGGAUAAAAGGGGGAUUUAAAAAAAUGGCUUAAAUGCACUUUUGGACCCUCAAGUUUACAUUUUUUGCGAUUGUUGACCCUGAUCUUAUUUUUAGUUUGAAUGGAG